rnacentral:tRNA from 2 species
GGGGAUAUAGCUCAGUUGGUAGAGCUCCGCUCUUGCAACUUCUAGAGAGAAAGGCGCUUUCGCAUCUUCUUAA